rnacentral:misc_RNA from 1 species
GAUGAAGAACGCAGCGAAAUGCGAUAAGUAGUGUGAAUUGCAGAAUUCAGUGAAUCAUCGAAUCUUUGAACGCACAUUGAGCCCCUUGGUAUUCCAUGGGGCAUGCCUGUUCGAGCGUCAUUUGUACCUUCAAGCUCUGCUUGGUGUUGGGUGUUUGUCUCGCCUCUGCGUGUAGACUCGCCUCAAAACAAUUGGCAGCCGGCGUAUUGAUUUCGGAGCGCAGUACAUCUCGCGCUUUGCACUCAUAACGACGACGUCCAAAAGUACAUUUUUACACUCUUGACCUCGGAUCAGGUAGGGAUACCCGCUGAACUUAAGCAUAUCAAUAAGCGGAGGA